CCUACGGGAGGCUGCAGUGGGGAAUAUUGGACAAUGGGGGCAACCCUGAUCCAGCCAUGCCGCGUGUGUGAAGAAGGCCCUCGGGUUGUAAAGCACUUUCAGUGAGGAAGAACGCCUGGUGGUUAAUACCCAUCAGGAAAGACAUCACUCACAGAAGAAGCACCGGCUAACUCCGUGCCAGCAGCCGCGGUAAUACGGAGGGUGCGAGCGUUAAUCGGAAUUACUGGGCGUAAAGCGCGCGUAGGUGGCUUGGUAAGCCGGUUGUGAAAGCCCCGGGCUCAACCUGGGAACGGCAUCCGGAACUGUCAAGCUAGAGUGCAGGAGAGGAAGGUAGAAUUCCCGGUGUAGCGGUGAAAUGCGUAGAGAUCGGGAGGAAUACCAGUGGCGAAGGCGGCCUUCUGGACUGACACUGACACUGAGGUGCGAAAGCGUGGGUAGCAAACAGGAUUAGAUACCCCUGUAGUC
rnacentral:rRNA from 1 species